GGAUCCAGGGUGAUCCUUCCCCAGGGGAGCAACCCUCACCUCUUCACCUCCUCUCUCCUUCCUGCCCGAAUUCCCCAGGCUCUCUGGCUGUGGAUGCCCUGGCCUCUGCAGCCCCUGCCUUCCACCUUGGGGUCCUGCUCUACCUGCACCCUUGCCUUCCUUCCUGUCACUAGGGCCACUGGAGCUGCCAGCCCUCUGUGUGUGUCUGGGUUGGGG